rnacentral:sRNA from 1 species
UUGGUCGCAGGUUCGAGUCGAACGAAGUGAGACAACGGAGCCGCUUGCGGCGACGGCCCGAAGGGCGAGGCGAAGCCGAGUC